UUGAAACACCAGUUCCUGUAUAAUCACCGAAUUUAAGCAACGUCGAGCCUGGUCAGUACGUAGAUGGUUGACCCCUCGGGAAUACCAAGUGCUGUA